rfam:Ictidomys tridecemlineatus contig030791, whole genome shotgun sequence.
GGGGUUGUAGCUCAGUGGUUGAGUGCUUGCCUCAUAUGCAUGAGGCACUGGGUUCAAUCCUCAGCACCACCA